rnacentral:rRNA from 1 species
UACAGAGGUCCCAAGCGUUGUUCGGAUUCACUGGGCGUAAAGGGUGCGUAGGUGGUCGGGUAAGUCUGAUGUGAAAUCUCGGAGCUCAACUCCGAAACUGCAUUGGAUACUAUUCGGCUUGAGAGUUGGAGGGGGGACUGGAAUUCUCGGUGUAGCAGUGAAAUGCGUUAGAUAUCGAGAGGAACACCAGUGGCGAAGGCGAGUCCCUGGACAACUUCUGACACUGAGGCACGAAAGCUAGGGGAGCAAACAGG